rnacentral:rRNA from 1 species
UAGGGAAUAUUGGGCAAUGGACGAGAGUCUGACCCAGCCAUGCCGCGUGCAGGAAGAAGGCGUUCUGCGUUGUAAACUGCUUUUAUCUGGGAAGAAAAGGCCCAUGCGUGGGACAUUGCCGGUACCAGAUGAAUAAGCACCGGCUAACUCCGUGCCAGCAGCCGCGGUAAUACGGAGGGUGCAAGCGUUGUCCGGAUUUAUUGGGUUUAAAGGGUGCGUAGGCGGCUAUUUAAGUCAGCGGUGAAAGACUCCGGCUCAACCGGAGCAGUGCCAUUGAUACUGGAUAGCUUGAGUGUUGGAGGGGUACAUGGAAUUGAUGGUGUAGCGGUGAAAUGCAUAGAUACCAUCAGGAACACCGAUAGCGAAGGCAUUGUACUGGCCAACAACUGACGCUGAGGCACGAAAGCAUGGGGAGCGAACA